rnacentral:rRNA from 1 species
UACAGAGGGUGCAAGCGUUAAUCGGAGUUACUGGGCGUAAAGGGCGCGUAGGCGGUUAUGUAAGUGAGAUGUGAAAUCCCUGGGCUUAACCUAGGAACGGCAUCUCAGACUGUAUAACUGGAGUACUGUAGAGGGUAGUGGAAUUUCCGGUGUAGCGGUGAAAUGCGUAGAGAUCGGAAGGAACACCAGUGGCGAAGGCGGCUCACUGGCCCGAUACUGACGCUGAGGCACGAAAGCGUGGGGAGCAAACAGG